GACGAACGCUGGCGGCGUGCUUAACACAUGCAAGUCGAACGGUAAGGCCCUUCGGGGGUACACGAGUGGCGAACGGGUGAGUAACACGUGGGUGAUCUGCCCUGCACUUCGGGAUAAGCCUGGGAAACUGGGUCUAAUACCGGAUAGGACCACUGCCUGCAUGGGUGGUGGUGGAAAGCUUUUGCGGUGUGGGAUGGGCCCGCGGCCGAUCAGCUUGUUGGUGGGGUGAUGGCCUACCAAGGCAACGACGGGUAGCCGGCCUGAGAGGGUGACCGGCCACACUGGGACUGAGAUACGGCCCAGACUCCUACGGGAGGCAGCAGUGGGGAAUAUUGCACAAUGGGCGCAAGCCUGAUGCAGCGACGCCGCGUGAGGGAUGACGGCCUUCGGGUUGUAAACCUCUUUCAGCGCCGACGAAGCGCAAGUGACGGUAGGUGCAGAAGAAGGACCGGCCAACUACGUGCCAGCCGCCGCCGUAA
rnacentral:rRNA from 1 species